UGGGGAAUAUUGCACAAUGGGCGCAAGCCUGAUGCAGCCAUGCCGCGUGUGUGAAGAAGGCCUUCGGGUUGUAAAGCACUUUCAGCGAGGAGGAAGGCAGUCGUGUUAAUAGCACGAUUGAUUGACGUUACUCGCAGAAGAAGCACCGGCUAACUCCGUGCCAGCAGCCGCGGUAAUACGGAGGGUGCAAGCGUUAAUCGGAAUUACUGGGCGUAAAGCGCACGCAGGCGGUUUGUUAACUCAGAUGUGAAAUCCCCGCGCUUAACGUGGGAACUGCAUUUGAAACUGGCAAGCUAGAGUCUUGUAGAGGGGGGUAGAAUUCCAGGUGUAGCGGUGAAAUGCGUAGAGAUCUGGAGGAAUACCGGUGGCGAAGGCGGCCCCCUGGACAAAGACUGACGCUCAGGUGCGAAAGCGUGGGGAGCAAACA
rnacentral:rRNA from 1 species